CAAUUCCGACCUCCUCUUUCGUUGUGAAAAUCCCUAGCUGAUUCGUCGUUAAGAUUGAAAAAAUGGGAGUUAAACAGGCGAUAAAGAGCUUGGAUGCGUUUCCUCGCGCAGAAGAGCAUUUAUUGCAGAAAACGCAAUCUGGAGCUCUUGUUUCAAUUAUUGGUCUUGUAAUAAUGGCUACAUUAUUCUUGCACGAGUUGUCAUAUUAUCUCACUACAUACACGGUUCAUCAGAUGUCUGUGGACUUGAAACGUGGAGAAACGCUUCCAAUUCACAUAAAUGUGACGUUUCCUUCUUUACCUUGUGAUGUCUUGAGCGUGGAUGCAAUUGACAUGUCAGGCAAGCAUGAAGUAGAUCUUGAUACAAACAUAUGGAAACUUCGCUUGAACAAUUAUGGUCAUAUCAUUGGCACUGAAUAUU
rnacentral:misc_RNA from 1 species